rnacentral:rRNA from 1 species
UACGUAGGGGGCUAGCGUUGUCCGGAAUCAUUGGGCGUAAAGCGCGUGUAGGCGGCCCGGUAAGUCCGCUGUGAAAUCCGGGGGCUCAACCCUCGAAUGCCGGUGGAUACUGUCGGGCUCGAGUGCGGAAGAGGCGAGUGGAAUUCCUGGUGUAGCGGUGAAAUGCGCAGAUAUCAGGAGGAACACCGAUUGCGAAGGCAGCUCGCUGGGACGUUACUGACGCUGAGACGCGAAAGCGUGGGGAGCAAACAGG